UGAAUACACUUAUUGUCAGUCACUUUGGAUAAAAGUGUCAGCUAAAUUAAUGAAU
rnacentral:sRNA from 14 species